GGUUCCCUAGUGUAGUGGUUAUCACGUUCGCUUCACACGCGAAAGGUCUCCCGGUUCGACCCGGACGGAACCA
rnacentral:tRNA from 1 species